AAGACCUUACUUCAUAUGAUCAUUUCUAUAGUAAGUUCUUCAUCCAGAAAUUCGCAAUAUGUAAAGGCGCACAAACCGUGAUGAGAUGUUGCGCGGUACUCUGAGCAUGUGAUGAGCGGU